rnacentral:rRNA from 1 species
CAUGCAGGCGGAUUCUUAAGUUGGACGUGAAAGCUCCUGGCUCAACUGGGAGAGGUCGUUCAAAACUGGGGAUCUUGAGGGUGGUAGAGGCGAGUGGAAUUCCCGGUGUAGUGGUGAAAUGCGUAGAUAUCGGGAGGAACACCAGUGGCGAAGGCGGCUCGCUGGGCCAUUCCUGACGCUCAGAUGCGAAAGCUAGGGGAGAGAACG